CACAUCCCCAGAUAGCCUGGAUCUGAGUGCAUAUUCUUAGCGAAUAGCGCUCAGAUCCCAUACGCAUAGUUCAAUCGCCAUGGAGUCAAUGUCUUUUACAGUCUUUCGGUAUGCGAUUGACUCCAUGGGAAGGCUAUCUGGGGUAAGUCCAUUCGUAUAAUCCAAACUCCCGAACGGCCGGUGUUAGCAUGCCUUGUCGACUGAGAAGGGCGGUCUGCGGGUUUCAGCGGUGUUCGGCAGAAAGAGUGUCUGUUUUUAGUUCCAUAGAAUCUGCGCCAAACACCACUGGUCUUUCGCAUGGUUUAAAAUGGCCGCCGCCUCGUGGUCGACAAACGAACGACGACCACCCUGCAUUCAGUUGUAAUUAAGAGGCGUCUGCGGUUAACCACAACGUUCUAAUUAGGAUCAAGAGGUUAACCAGCAGCACACUCCUCUUGUGGGUGGCCGUCCAUUCAGUAAGUUCAUUCGGUAGAUAGUCAAACAGACAAAUAAGGGUAUACGAACAGGCAAUUCCACGAAAG